rnacentral:misc_RNA from 1 species
ACAGAAUAUUUUUCCCAUAUAAUUAACUUUCUCAUCUGGAUACUGUAUUUUUUAUUCUUUCAAUACCAUUUACAUAUUCCACAAUUAUAUUGCCAAAAUAUUUGAUACUUAUUCAAAAAAUGAAUACAGUUCUGAUCUUGAAAUGUGAACUAAAGGAUACUUUUUAGUUUAGGUUUAUGUCUUUUGCUAGAUCCUGAUUGGGUUUCAGCUAAUCAUCCUUAUCACAGAUGGCCAAUCAGAAUACUUACUUCUCCUUUCUUCCUUUUAUUGUAGUGCAACAGCACUGCAACUGGUG